ensembl:lncRNA
AUGGCACAGCCGAUCUCCGUGGUGGCGGGCGAGGAGGCGGUGGGACCGCAGGGGACUGGCUCCGUGACUCCGGCACAGCCGAUCUCGGUGGUGGCAGGCGAGGAGGCGGCGGGUCUCUGCUUCACACCUGCGCCUGGAGGACUGGACUAUGUAAUGACCUGGUCAGUCGCAAAUUUAGCUCUGCAACUGGGAAGAAGCUGUGCAGCUGGACCAUUUCCACGGAGGCUUCUUAUUAACUUACUAAAAGCGUCUCUCUGCGAUUUUGACAUAACUUUUCCCAUUAUGACUAGGAUUAACCCUGAAGCAUAAAGUCCAUACCUGACUGUGACAUCAGAAGUUUUCCUCAGUUCCCUCUGUUCCGUUAACUGUUCAGAAGUACGGUUCUGGUUCCUUGUACCAGCACUCUAGAGUCCGAGAUCCUUUUUCUUUUUCCCUGGGGAAUAUUUUUCUUCCUUUUCCUUUUCCAGCUCAAAGCUGCUUUUUCUUCUUUUCUCUCGUUUUCUUCAGGGAGUCCAAACUCUAAGUCCUGACACAGAGGCACCAGACAUUCAUUUUCUCUGUUUUUGAAUUUUGAGGUUUUUUACUCAGAGUUUGGAUUACAACGCAGGAGAUGCCAGGCUUUUCUUCUUUACUGAUGUUUAUUAUUUCUUACCUUUAGCACAGCUGCAUAGGGUGUGCUUUCUAGUUGUCAGGGUGGAAAAUGGCUCUGAGUCCUAAUGUCCAAGGCCAUUUAAAGUCCAAAUCAACCAAUUAUGAAAUACCAAGUAAUAUGCUUUUACUUAUAAUCCAAUAACUAACCUUUCAUGAUCUGCACUGCGGGUUUUUUGACCCAAUACCAGAACACUCAGAUUUGUGAAGAAGAAGGAGAGAAGAUGAAGAACAAAUCCACACCCAAAAUCCUCCAUAUUGUUACACUUCUAUAUAUAAUUAUAUCCCAGAAACCUAAAUUCUCUAACCCCAGGGUUCCAACAUGCUACUAUAGGCAUUUUGGCCUGGAGAGCACAUGGAAAGAUAGAAAGUGGACCUGCAGGAUUCUCAUCCCAAUAGGAAAUGGUGGAUGCUUGCUACCACUGCUCAUACAAGGAAUCACAGAGGUGAGGCCAUAGAAAUCCCACAGAAACAGAAUGUUGAAAAUCUUAUUUUGAAGCCUGACUGUUACCCAGUGAAGGAUGAAGAAGGAUCUCAUAACUCUGAGAAAUACCUUUGCCUCCUGCUCUGGGAAAGCAUCGUCUUGUGGCAGUGACUUGAGCACACCUUACAUGGUGCUCCUGAAAAACAUCUGCUGGGAGGGGAAGCAUUUAGGAGUCUACCUUACUCAGUGUAGUUUUUACAUGUGAUUCAGUCUGGAGAAAAGGCAGACGAGGUGUUGCUAAAGGAAGCUGAUCACCACUUUUGACUGUAUGAGAUGGGAAAUUGUCUUCUGCAAGCCAGACUGCAAUACGAGUAUAUCCAAGGAAAUGCUCAACUCUGGGAUCAUCUCCUUCCCAUAUUCACCUCCCAUAAUUCUUCGCCAUGCAAAAAGGAGCCCAAGAAACAGAUCCCAAAUACCAA